UACAGAGGGGGCAAGCGUUGUUCGGAAUUACUGGGCGUAAAGGGCGCGUAGGCGGCCUGUUAAGUCGAACGUGAAAUCCCCGGGCUCAACCCGGGAACUGCGUCCGAUACUGGAAGGCUUGAAUCCGGGAGAGGGAUGCGGAAUUCCAGGUGUAGCGGUGAAAUGCGUAGAUAUCUGGAGGAACACCGGUGGCGAAGGCGGCAUCCCGGACCGGCAUUGACGCUGAGGCGCGAAAGCCAGGGGAGCAAACGGG
rnacentral:rRNA from 1 species